rnacentral:rRNA from 1 species
UACGGAGGAUGCAAGCGUUAUCCGGAAUUAUUGGGCGUAAAGCGUCCGCAGGUGGCACUUCAAGUCUGUCGUUAAAGACCGGGGCUUAACCCUGGAAAGGCGAUGGAAACUGAAAGGCUAGAGAGAGGUAGGGGUAGAGGGAAUUCCCAGUGUAGCGGUGAAAUGCGUAGAGAUUGGGAAGAACAUCGGUGGCGAAAGCGCUCUACUGGACCUCAUCUGACACUCAGGGACGAAAGCUAGGGGAGCGAAUGGG